UUCACUUCACAAUGUGUUAACAUAUUGAACGCCACGUGAGUUACAUUUAACUCGCACCGUGUUUGGCCAAGAGGCUGUAUGAGUUGAGUGUAAGUCCAACCCUGGUCUAUGAACACCACGAUCUGCGAGUUGGAUACGCCUGACAUCUAUGAACCGUAUAAUACAGAAAGCAAAGCUCAUACGUGUUAGUCUGACGAUAUAAACCUUUCGACUGAAUUUUGUUUCACUCUCCACGCGGUCAGUUAUGGCGUCCCCUGUUCUCUCCGUACAUUGCAUAGGAGGUUGUAAUGCGACGAUGGUGAUUCGAGGUAUCUUUGAAAUGUGAGCCAACUCUGACGAUGCAAAAAACGUUGGUUAACUGCAGUUGUGGCGCAGACACCGGUUAUAUGGUCUGGACAUCCCGUUUGUUUUGUGUAACUCACGGAUGCAAAUGAAGAAGAAGAAAAAAAUAAAAUGAAAUGAUUUAUAUUCAAAUAUUCUGGAAAAUUUAGAUUCUGAGGAUCUAAUGGAUAUUCAAGAGAAACCAAGGAUAGAAAUAUGUGCGUUCUACCUUGGCGUUCGAUAUGUUAAAAGCUACCGUCGUAAGGGGCACGUUUAUGCUGUCAUUGGUGAGACUCUAGGUUGAUGUAUUUUUGUUAUUUCAGUAAUUGAUAGAGUCACACAAAUGAAAUUACACAUUUUAUUAUUAUUCGGCAUCAGGAAAAACAUUGAAAAGUUGCAGAUUGUGAUAACAACAAAUAACAUCGCAAUGGUGUUGUUAGGGGAGUAUGACAUUGUGUUGAAACACAAUUUGCGUGAAGUGAAAUUUUGUUCAUAAUAUUCUUUAACGAUUAAUAAAUGAUAUGAUAAUGAUGAUAUCAUAGGGGCUAGAAAAUGAUAUAAAUUUGUAGAGAAACAACUUUUCGGGAAGUUAAUUUUCUGCGAAAAUUUGGUAUUGUAAUUGUUUUAACCUGUGGUAACAAUGUUUCUCUACUUUUUAUUGCAACUCAGUUCUUUUGCCAAGUGCUCAAAUGUCCAACGUCCUACGAUAGACACAUAACUCUCUCGCUAAUCUGCCUUCUAACACGCUAUUCAUAUUCUCCUACCAUUUGUCAUUUCCUAUCGUGUUCCACACCCAAAUCUCUGUCCCCUAAUAAGCUAUUCAUAUUCUCCUUCCAUUUGUCAUUUCCUAUCAUGUUCCGCACCUAAAUCCUGCCCCCACAUCCUCUUUGCACACUUUUCACCCCUGCAUUCCAUUGCAGACCCAACACAUGAUAUAACUUAAACGUGACAUUUCAAAAAUUAUUUAUGGAUCCCGUAUCUUUUCUACUACUGAAUCAAAUAAAUUUGUUAACAUCUUGGGUUAGGUUGAAUCACAUUCUGCUCGUGCCUCGGGCCACCUAAAUCCUUUGAUGUCAUAACCCCUUUGAAAAAAAGGGGGCACACAUUCGCUGUCGCUUUCAUCGUUAUUUUUUUUUUUUUUUUUUUUUUUCUUAACACGACGGCGCAAAAUAUUCGGCUAAUUGUGCACAAAAAAGGUCUCAUUUUCGAUUUUAUUAAAUUUUUUAUUGAAUACGUUGCAGAGGGGAGGGUCCUGAGUAGUAUUCACUUUGUUUGAACCGUAGGACGAUCGUGAUUCAAAAGUUAGGUUACCAACCUCCAACGAAUCAAACCUAACCUAACUAUAUCUUACCAAUAUUAGGAUCGUUAUUUUACGCAAAUGCAUAUGGAAUUUCAUUUGUAACUUAUAUUGCAGUAAAUGUAGUAUAACAAUUACAAUUUUCUUUUUGUCAUAAGUUUUGUUACCGUUCCACCAGAGUGUAUUUUCCUCAAGACUUGCUUGAAACCUAUUCUUUCUACGAUAUGGACUGAUCGUAUUUAUUUUUGUAACAAUAUCCUCCUAAAUAAUCAAUACUGACAAAAAGUGUAGAAUGCGGGUCGACUUAUUUUUGUCCUAGACUCGUCAGAAAGAAUUUUAUCAAAAUCGAUGACCCAACGACUGUGACCUCUCCUUGUAAGAUAUAUCAGAAUAUAUACAUAACAAUGCUAAACACAAUGUGAGUGAGCCCGCAGUGAACCGCACUGAAAUGUGAACAGAAUCCCAUUACAACGUUUCUUCCAGGAUUAAUAUCCUUUAAUAUCCUUCAUCAAUAUCUAUCUAUGCUGUUCUCAAUGUAUCAUCGAUGUCAUUAACCCUGCCCAUAUGUGAAUCGAAUAUAAUGAAUGUACAAAAUUGUUCAUAAUACGUUGAUUACUACUAUAUAUCAAUUUCCUGUUAUGUAUAGGUCUACAAUAAUGAUAUAUUAUAUUGUUAUCUUUAUCUUGGACAAGGCCGAUGCCAUUUGCGUAAAUAAAUGAUUAAGGUGACAGGUCACCGAACUUCCUGGUUUUCUCAAAAUACUCCGGCUGAAGGUAAAUUAUAGAUUUAAUUAAAUCAUUAGUUUGUACUGAUCCGCUCGAUGCCUAACAAUUCGUUAUAACCUUUAAAAUAGACAAAUGAUUUCUCUGCAUUUUAGCUACAUUAUACAGAAGAAAUGAAUUAAUGUAUUUCUUUUAAUUAGACGAAGUUAAUAUAGAUAAUGCAGUACGAUGACGUAAAAAUUUGAGCUUAAAUAAACGCGAACUUUCCAUCUGACUUGUAAAGCUUCAGCUUUGACUGAGCCGAUGCAAUAUUUUAGAAUUUUUAUCUUCUUAUUCUGUUCAACAAGAAACCCUCGAACGUUCCAAGAAAAAAUAUUCAGAAAAUUUUAGAAUUUUUAUCUUCUUAUUCUGUUCAACAAGAAACCCUCGAACGUUCCAAGAAAAAAUAUUCAGAAAAUUCAAAUGCUACUGUGAUAAGGAAAUUUCAAAUUUCUGAGCGAUAACGAUCGCAUUACAACGGAAAUGUGGCGAUCUAAUUGAUGUGUCUUAUGCAACAAACUUGGAACAUUUACAACGUGACGGGUACAGUUCAACAACGAUGCUCAUAAAAGCAAAGUAUCAUUGCAAAAGCACAAUAAAUGUGCUUAUAUCGUAUAACUGUAGGAAGGUAUGUUUACGAUUUUUUAACAAUCCUAAAAAACUGGAUGAAAAUGUUCCGAUAUUUCCUUUAACAAAAAUUUCUUAAUUAUUAUUUUCUAAGCAGUAACAAAUGUAUUAGGUUAUCGCAAAAGUUUCUUUCGUUUCGUAAAGGAAUAAUCGACGCAAUAAAAAUUUAGAUAUAGAUAAUAAUAUCCCCUUUAUUCGUCUUGAAAUAUCGUUGUUAUUUCUGUAUUCAGAGAUAGGACCAUAUUAGGUAUUAUUUUAUUUUUUGGAUAAAUCUAUC